rnacentral:rRNA from 1 species
AUUGAACGCUGGCGGCAGGCCUAACACAUGCAAGUCGAGCGGGGUUUUCGGACCUAGCGGCGGACGGGUGAGUAAUGCGUAGGAAGCUACCCGAUAGAGGGGGAUACCAGUUGGAAACGACUGUUAAUACCGCAUAAUGUCUACGGACCAAAGUGUGGGACCUUCGGGCCACAUGCUAUCGGAUGCGCCUACGUGGGAUUAGCUAGUUGGUGAGGUAAUGGCUCACCAAGGCGACGAUCCCUAGCUGGUUUGAGAGGAUGAUCAGCCACACUGGAACUGAGACACGGUUCAGACUCCUACGGGAGGCAGCAGUGGGGAAUAUUGGACAAUGGGCGCAAGCCUGAUCCAGCCAUGCCGCGUGUGUGAAGAAGGCCUUCGGGUUGUAAAGCACUUUCAGUAGGGAGGAAGCGUUGUGUGUUAAUAGUACACAGCGUUGACGUUACCUACAGAAGAAGCACCGGCUAACUCUGUGCCAGCCGCCGCGGUAA